GCCAGUAUGAUAUCUGAAAGAGCUUUAACGGCAGUUUAACCGGUUCUGUUGUCCCACUUGAGCGAGGCCCCCUACUGAAAAGGCUGCUUCCUUCCUGCAACGUGGAGAGCUAUAACUCACCAGUGCCGGUUAGUGCUAUAGGGCAGGUCAUGGCAUGUGGGCAUAGCUGCGGUCUGUGUGCUCUGUAUUGAGGCAAGGCUAGUUGAACCAGUCUGUCCGUCCAUUGCUGGGAACCAGGAGUGAGUUAUGUAGUGGGCAGUAAGAACCAGAAGGUCACUCUGAUGGAACUACAGAGGUCCUGCACAAGUGGACAAAUCCUAAAUUUUCUAGCGAUGCCAGAGAAAAAAUGAAAGCUCCAGUGUGCACAGAAAUGGACUAAUCUAAAGAGUGGUAGCUAAGGGUCACAGGGAGCCUGGAGCCUAUCCCAGUGGACUUGGGGCACAAGGCAGGGGGACACCCUGGAUGUCAGGUGUGUCAGGAUGUCAGGUGCCAACCCAUUGUAGGGCACAAUCUCACACACACUACAGACAAUUUGGAAAUCAAUCUUUGGACUGGCGGAGGAAACCCGAGUACUCAGAGAAAACCCCCAAUGCACAAGGAGAACAUGCAAAGUCUGCGCACACAGGGCGGAGGUGGGAUUCGAACCCCAAUCCUGAAGGUGCGAGGCAAAUGUGCUAACCACUAAGCCAUGAUUAUUAUCCAUUUAAGUUUCUAAAGUAGCACAUUGUAUGUGUACUGUACCGUUAAUAAACAGUCAACUAAUCUUUUGCGAAUGUUCUGUGGCUCCAUACAAGUUUGAACUCUUUAGCAUGAAUGCCAAGUGCUACAUCAACAGAUCAUAACACAUAGGCAUCUUUGUAGAAAAAAAAAGUGAUCAGAACCUCACACAUGGUCGAAAGUUAACCUUUAGACAACAGAAACACACAGAGAAGACACGACUAUGAUCAUCCUUGAGUGGUCUAGACGGAGCUUGGUUUUUACCCAGUUGAAUGUUUCUGGAAAGACCUGGAGGUUCCUCUAAACAGACUGGAGGAAUAUCCUUGAAUUCAGGUGUGCCAAGCUCAUAGCAUCAGACUCAAAAAGACUGUAAUUACUGCCAAUACUGCUUUAACAAUGCAUUGAGUAAAGGGUCUGAAUAUUUGUUUCAAAUAUAUCUUUCACAGAUUCAGAAGGAAAAAAAAUGAAUGCAGUACAUUUCAGAGAAAAGAGUAAUGUAGGUGGAUACACCGUGCAUGUGUGUACAGUACCCUACAGCUGCAGAAGCACUUAACUUGCACUGCUGAUGAAGGACUUUUGUCUGAAACAUCUUGAUUCUCUGGUAACCUUGAGUACUUCAUUGAACUUUUACUACUUAUACCAUGUACUAACAAGGCUAUUUAAGGUCUUUGCUAUGGCUCUGUUGCUUUUCCUACUUGAGUUGUAUUUAGUAAUGUUGACCCUGAGUGUCUCAACAUGUUUUCCUGAUAAAUUAUUUUUUUUUUAAACAAAAUGUCUUUAUUUAUGCUAAUGAAUGCACACUGUUUUGUUCAUAUUCAUAAAUACGAGUGUGUGUAAAUCUGAAGUGGAUAUAUGCACUGGAGGUAUAUUAAAUAACAAAAACAAACGUGUCGGAAUACUUACUUCCCC
ensembl:lncRNA